GUUUCUUCUCUGCGAUGCCUGUCAUGCCACCCUGCCUUGGAGCCUUCUGAUUAUGAACCUUUACCAACUGCGGGACUCAAGACUCCUCCCGGGAGAGAACACAGAAGGGCUCAUGCCCUGUGCCCUGAGGAGCUCAGAGCUCAGAGACGGUGGCUCCAGGUCUGCAUGGGCUCGUCAUUCCUGCUCAAGACCCCAGAGCCCUCGGAGAAGACACCCCCAGACUCCUCCUCGGCCAUCAUGGGCAGAAAGCACAGGCGACCAGGGACCCAGCUGAGCCGUCUUAGGAUGUCCUUGCUCUCUCCACCGCAGCUCUGGUGUCCAUGACCGGGAGGGAAAGCGGGAAGAGGAAAGGCGGGAGGGGCCACUAGGCCACUCCGAGGCUGGGAAGUGGAUGUUUUGUGUUCUGCUCCAACUUUCCCUGCUCAGAGCGAGGUGCAGGUGAAGAGGGUGAUCACUCUGAGAUGGGUCUUCAAGGGGCCACCAGGUGGAUCAGAACCAUGCCGCCGUUGUUUGGGACCCUCGCUGACCUCUGUCCUCCUUCCACACCUUCCCAGCCACCUCCCCUGGGGCUGUGCUCUCCGUCCAUGGUGUCCGAAGACUUGG
rnacentral:lncRNA from 1 species